GGUACGCGGGGCAACCUGGCGACGAGUGGCGAACGGGUGAGUAAUACAUCGGAACGUGCCCGGUAGUGGGGGAUAGCCCGGCGAAAGCCGGAUUAAUACCGCAUACGACCUAAGGGUGAAAGCAGGGGAUCGCAAGACCUUGCGCUAUUGGAGCGGCCGAUGUCAGAUUAGGUAGUUGGUGGGGUAAAAGCCUACCAAGCCGACGAUCUGUAGCUGGUCUGAGAGGACGACCAGCCACACUGGGACUGAGACACG
rnacentral:rRNA from 1 species